rnacentral:rRNA from 1 species
AUGGAGAGACGACGCGGUCGUGCGCCAUGGAGAGGUGUUGGGAACAACGUCUUCAACCAAGUCGGCGGCUCUGUCAACGGCGGCUUGGACCAAACCGACGGCGGCUCUAUCAACCAAGGCGGCGGCGGCGGCUCUGGCACCGGAUGCGACAUGGAUGGCGAGUGGAUAGUCACAUCAGAGCUUAGUUUUGUCUCCAAAAAAGCGAUGAAGGGGGCAUGCGGAAUUAGGGUUUCCAAUGAAGGAUUUGGUGCGGCUGAAUGUGGGUGCAAAUUGACGCCAGUUAUUAGGGUUUGCAAUGAAGGAUUUGAUGCAGGCCGACGAUUUCUGAGUUGUCCAUACGAGGGGUUAAACUCCUGUGGGUAUUUGAGGUGGAUGGAUGAUGCAUGGCAGGGCAGAUCAAGGGUGGUAAUUGGAAAGCUUGCAAAUGACAAGCAGAAGCUACAAAAUGCUUUGCUUGACAAGGAACAAGACAUUCAGAGGAUGAAGAAAGAGAGGAAUAAAUUAGAUGGGCAGAGAAAAAAAAUUCAGACAAAUAAACUCUCAAAUGCAAAAUAA